GGAAUCUUUUCCUGAAGGGAGGGCUAGAUGACUCCCUGAAGAGCCUUCCCUAUCCCAGGUUUUCCCAACAUUGCCCUGGAUAUCCUGGAGCUUGCUGUGUAGAUCAGGCUGGCUUUGAACUCCCAGAGUGCCACCACUCUCAGCUUUGUAGAAAGAAUAUCUUACAAGCAUCACCUAGAGACACUGAGGGCGACUCGAAGGAAGAAGCGAACCAGGAUGGAAGGAGAGGUUGGAGCCACAGAGGGAAAGAAAAGCCAACAUGUUAUACUUGUCCCAGAGGUCUUUCUUGCAGACAUCUAUCACUGCAGCUGCCCACUGCCAGCUCCAGGUUCUUGGACAAGGACGAAGCUCAGGAGCCCCAGAUGACUGUAGGAAAAGGAGGAAUCAUAUGGACACACAAGUCAAGUCUCAGUCUCCAAUACUGCCCUGCUAGGCAUACAGAGAAUGUGACAUCAUUCAAAGCUCCCUUCAGUGCCCACAGCCCAGCUUCUUGCCUUUCUUCAGGGAGCUAAUAUCCUAAUUGCGGCGCAUCGUUAAUUGCUUCCAUUUCUUCAGGCAUGACUGACAGUAUCUGACUCCAACACCACCUACUCUUCUUUUUGGCUUCUGUUUCCCAGUGUGGUGAACCUGCUGAAGAGCCAUUGCAAUGCAAACCCCAUGCAGAUAACAUGUACACCAGGUUCCAUGUAUGCAGGGCCCUACCCUUCCUGCCUCUAUUCAUCUGGUUCAUUUCCUUCCCUGACCCUUUCUGUAUCUCCAUAUCCCGAGCCUCGAAUCCCAAGUUUUCAUUUCUUUGUCCUCUGCUUCGCUGAUGGGGUCUCGAGGCUUGCUCUCACUCCCCACUUGACUCUCAGCAGGCCUAAGAACUGCUGAGUGCAGGGGCAGGGGCUCAUUGAUUUAAUAGAAAUACUUUAAUAGAAAGUAGAAUCCCAGGGUCUGGGGAGAUGAAGCAGUCAUUCAACCGAUUGCCUUGCAAGCACUCAGAUCUGGGUUCAAAGCCCAGAACCCACAUAAAAAAGCCAGGUGUGCUCAUAUAUGACUGUAAUCCCAGCACUAGGGAGGCAGAGAUAUGCAGAUCCCUGGGACCUACAAGCUAGCCAGCCCAGCCCAGUUGGCAAGCUCCAGGCCAAUGAGAGAUGCCCACAGAAAGAACCUCAGUGAUGGCUUAGUGGCUAAGAGCGCUGGCUGUCUGCUCUUCCGGAGGAUCCAGGUUCUGUUCCUAGCACCCACACAGUGGCUCAUAACUGUCUGCAAGUCCAGUUCCAGGGUAUCUGAUGCCAUCUUCUGAUCUCCUCAGGCACCAGGCUUGUAAAUGCUACACAGGCAUAUAUUCAAGCAAAAGCACUCAUACACCUAAAUUAAAUCACAAACAAAACAAGAACACUUUCAAUACUUGUGGAACUUUCCCAAGACCUGAGACCUCAUGUGCCCUCAGAUGGGGAAACCAGGGUGCACUCCAAGAAUGGGGAAGGCCCAAGUGCUCUCAUCCUCAGUGGUCAGGAGACAGGGUUGGGGAAUGUGGGCUCCUUUCAGGGAACCUGUGGAAGAGGGUUUAUACAGGUCUCAGCACCAGAUUUCAGUGUCUGUGGCUCUGGGUCACCCAGGAAGCCUCUGCAGACCCCUCUGUCUUCCCUGCAACAAGUCCAAGUCAUUUCAAAGAGAGUGGGGACCCUGUGGCUCUUUUGGGUUUCUGCAACUUUGUCUCCUUUAUGAGGAGGAAUGGUUUGUUCUUAGAAUGUAAGUAGGGGCUCUUCGAGUGAGAAGUGAGUGGUGUGUGCAUGUGUGUGUGUGUGUGUGUGUGUGUGUGUGUGUGUGUGUGUUUCCUUCUGUCUCUCUGUCUGCUUGACUCUCAGCCUAUUAAUACAAGCCCUGUGAUUAAUACAAGCCCCGUGUCUGGCUGUACCCCAAGCACACGUGCUCCCUGCCAUAGAGUACCACCCCUCCCAGAUCAGCCUGUUGUUUGUUCUUUCUGAUGGGCGCCAGCCUUGUAGACCCCAUGGAGGUAGAAUAUAACUUUCCAUAAAUAAACUCUAACCUGACCUACA
rnacentral:lncRNA from 1 species